rnacentral:rRNA from 1 species
UUUAAUGUUUGAUGUUCUAACGUGGACCCGUAAUCCGGGUUGCGGACAGUGUCUGGUGGGUAGUUUGACUGGGGCGGUCUCCUCCUAAAGAGUAACGGAGGAGCACGAAGGUUGGCUAAUCCUGGUCGGACAUCAGGAGGUUAGUGCAAUGGCAUAAGCCAGCUUGACUGCGAGCGUGACGGCGCGAGCAGGUGCGAAAGCAGGUCAUAGUGAUCCGGUGGUUCUGAAUGGAAGGGCCAUCGCUCAACGGAUAAAAGGUACUCCGGGGAUAACAGGCUGAUACCGCCCAAGAGUUCAUAUCGACGGCGGUGUUUGGCACCUCGAUGUCGGCUCAUCACAUCCUGGGGCUGAAGUAGGUCCCAAGGGUAUGGCUGUUCGCCAUUUAAAGUGGUACGCGAGCUGGGUUUAGAACGUCGUGAGACAGUUCGGUCCCUAUCUGCCGUGGGCGCUGGAGAACUGAGGGGGGCUGCUCCUAGUACGAGAGGACCGGAGUGGACGCAUCACUGGUGUUCGGGUUGUCAUGCCAAUGGCACUGCCCGGUAGCUAAAUGCGGAAGAGAUAAGUGCUGAAAGCAUCUAAGCACGAAACUUGCCCCGAGAUGAGUUCUCCCUGAGACUUUAGGUCUCCUGAAGGAACGUUGAAGACGACGACGUUGAUAGGCCGGGUGUGUAAGCGCAGCGAUGCGUUGAGCUAACCGGUACUAAUGAACCGUGAGGCUUAACCUUACA